rnacentral:rRNA from 1 species
AUUGAACGCUGGCGGCAGGCCUAACACAUGCAAGUCGAGCGGAUGAAGGGAGCUUGCUCCUGGAUUCAGCGGCGGACGGGUGAGUAAUGCCUAGGAAUCUGCCUGGUAGUGGGGGAUAACGUCCGGAAACGGGCGCUAAUACCGCAUACGUCCUGAGGGAGAAAGUGGGGGAUCUUCGAACCCCACCCUAUCAGUUGACCUAGGUGGGAUUAGGUAGUUGGUGGGGGAAAGGCCUACCAAGGCGACGAUCCGUAACUGGUCUGUGAGGAUGAUCAGUCACACUGGAACUGAGACACGGUCCAGACUCCUACGGGAGGCAGCAGUGGGGAAUAUUGGACAAUGGGCGAAAGCCUGAUCCAGCCAUGCCGCGUGUGUGAAGAAGGUCUUCGGAUUGUAAAGCACUUUAAGUUGGGAGGAAGGGCAGUAAGUUAAUACCUUGCUGUUUUGACGUUACCAACAGAAUAAGCACCGGCUAACUUCGUG